rnacentral:misc_RNA from 1 species
GAUGAAGAACGUAGCGAAAUGCGAUACGUAAUGUGAAUUGCAGAAUUCAGUGAAUCAUCGAAUCUUUGAACGCAUAUUGCGCUCUCUGGUAUUCCGGAGAGCAUGCUUGUUUGAGUAUCAGUAAACACCUCAACUCCCUUUUCUUUUUUGAAAUUGGAGCUGGACUUGAGUGAUCCCAACGCUUUCUUCCAAGAAAGUGGCGGGUUGCUUGAAAUGCAGGUGCAGCUGAACUUUUCUCUGAGCUAUAAGCAUAUCUAUUUAGUCUGCCUAAAAACAGAUUAUUACCUUUGCUGCAACUAACAUAAAGGAGACUAGUUCUUGUGCUGACUGAUGCAGGAUUCACAGAGACAGCUUCGGCUGACUUUGUAAACUCGAUCUCAAAUCAAGUAAGACUACCCGCUGAACUUAAGCAUAUCAAUAAGCGGAGGA